rnacentral:rRNA from 1 species
AGUGAACGCUGGCGGCGUGCUUAACACAUGCAAGUCGAACGAGAACGGGAUAUAGCUUGCUAUAUUUGUCAGCUAGGUGGCGCACGGGUGAGUAAUGUAUAGGUAAUAUGCCUCUUACUAAGGGAUAACAAUUGGAAACGAUUGCUAAUACCUUAUAUGCCUUUAAGACUAAAGUCUGCAAGGGAAAGAUUUAUUGGUAAGAGAUUAGCCUGUAUUGUAUCAGCUAGUUGGUGAGGUAAUGGCUCACCAAGGCCAUGACGCAUAACUGGUUUGAGAGGAUGAUCAGUCACACUGGAACUGAGACACGGUCCAGACUCCUACGGGAGGCAGCAGUGGGGAAUAUUGCACAAUGGACGAAAGUCUGAUGCAGCAACGCCGCGUGGAGGAUGACACAUUUCGGUGCGUAAACUCCUUUUAUAUAGGAAGAUAAUGACGGUACUAUAUGAAUAAGCACCGGCUAACUCCGUGCCAGCCGCCGCGGUAA